rnacentral:misc_RNA from 1 species
GAUGAAGAACGUAGCGAAAUGCGAUAAGUAGUGUGAAUUGCAGAAUUCAGUGAAUCAUCGAAUCUUUGAACGCACAUUGCGCCCUUUGGUAUUCCUUAGGGCAUGCCUGUUCGAGCGUCAUUUACAAAUUCAAGCUCAGCUUGGUGAUGGGUGUCUGUCCCGCCUUUGCGCGUGGACUCGCCUCAAAUGCAGUUGGCAGCUUAUCCCUCGGCUCUAAACGCAGCAGAUUUGCGUCGAGCGUCGUGUGGACGGGCUCUCCAGUAAGCAAACCCCCCAAGAUUGACCUCGGAUCAGGUAGGGAUACCAGCUGAACUUAAGCAUAUCAAUAAGCGGAGGA